rnacentral:rRNA from 1 species
CUACCAUGGCUUUCACGGGUAACGGAGGAUUAGGGUUCGAUUCCGGAGAGGGAGCCUGAGAAACGGCUACCACUUCUACGGAAGGCAGCAGGCGCGUAAAUUACCCAAUCCUGAUUCAGGGAGGUAGUGACAAGAAAUAAUGGGUCGGGGCUCUGCCCCGGGACUGCAAUGAGACGAAUUUAGACCCCUUAUCGAGGAUCCAUUGGAGGGCAAGUCUGGUGCCAGCAGCCGCGGUAAUUCCAGCUCCAAUAGCGUAUAUUAAAGUUGUUGCAGUUAAAAAGCUCGUAGUUGGAUUUCUGGUAGAAGGUUAAGGCUCACCUGUGUGAGGCCGCAAUCUUCUGCCAUCCUUCUGUUAACCUUUGCGUCAUUCAACCGUCGCUUUGGGGCUCAGAUAUUUUACCUUGAGAAAAUUAGAGUGUUUCAGGCAGGCUAGUGCCCGGAUACAUUAGCAUGGAAUAAUGGAAUAGGACUUUAGCCUCUUCUGUUGGUCUGAGGGGUUGAAGUAAUGAUUAAUAGGGAUAGUUGGGGGCAUUAGUACUUAACUGUCAGAGGUGAAAUUCUCGGAUUUGUUGAAGACUAACUUAUGCGAAAGCAUUUGCCAAGGAUGUUUUCAUUAAUCAA